UGCCCCGCUUUGGGCGGGUGGGUGGUGCUAUGCCUGUCCCCGGGAUCCUUUGCUGUGUGUCGUGCACGAUCCGGUUUUCUCACAGUGUUUAUUAUUGGUCUCAUCAUGGCACGCUGUAGAAGAGAAAAUUCUACAAGGACUUAAAUCUGCAUCCUGGAACAUCUAGGAUGCAUAACAGACCACGAAGACAAGAGACCUCUCAACUUAAGUGGUGAAGAAGGAGACUAGAGGUGCCCCCAUCACUUCUUCGAGUAGAAAAGAAGGGAAGAUGUGGAAGUCUGGUGAUUGGAGACAUGGAGUUAUUACAACAAAUCUUUUUGCUGAAAUGUAUGGCUCGAUACUUAAACUGAUAUUUUAACAUAUCUCAUUUUCAGAAAAAUAUUUCUUCUUCAAAUAGUUUAAAAAGGGCAUCAGAACUUCAGGUGAAGACCUAUAUAGGUACAACCUAACAUAAAGUGUACAUAUAGAGGAAAAAUCCAUUCAGCUACACAUUUCCGAUUACAAAGCUCAGCCAUCAUUGGCCCGUUGUGGCAUUGCUGCUACCAUCGAUUAGCCGUGGACACUGGUUUCAGUGAAUUUAAUAGCCAUCUUUGGCCCGUUGUGGCAUUGCUGCUACCAUCGAUUAUUUAUGGACAUUUCGUUUGUAAAUAUAUCUCGCAUUAGCAAUAUAUAUUGAACCUAGUUCGUUCCAACGGAAGCCAUUUCGAACUGGAAUUAUAUUGGAUGGUGAAAUUGUAUUCCAUUGGUCUGUAAUUUGGGCAUUAUGGUUCUGUAAGUUUGGGACUGUAUGUGAUGUAAAUA